AUUGAACGCUGGCGGCAGGCUUAACACAUGCAAGUCGAGCGAGCGGCGGACGGGUGAGUAAUGUCUGGGAAACUGCCUGAUGGAGGGGGAUAACUACUGGAAACGGUAGCUAAUACCGCAUACCAUCAGAUGUGCCCAGAUUGGAUUAGCUAGUAGGUGGGGUAAUGGCUCACCUAGGCGCCGAUCCCUAGCUGGUCUGAGAGGCUGACCAGCCACACUGGAACUGAGACGCGGGCCUGACUCCGACGGGAGGCAGCAGUGGGGAAUAUUGCACAAUGGGCGCAAGCCUGAUGCAGCCAUGCCGCGUGUGUGAAGAAGGCCAUCGGGUUGUAAAGCACUUUCAGCGAGGAGGCGUUACUCGCAGAAGAAGCACCGGCUAACUCCGUGACAGCAGCCGCGGUAAUAC
rnacentral:rRNA from 1 species